UGUAAUUUUAUAAUUUAACAUUUUACUUUAGCAUUUCAAAAAAGUAACGAAAAAAGUAACGAAUCGUUACUUUCUAAGUACGGUAACUCGUUACUUUUUAAAAUAAGUAACGAGUAACGGUAACGAGUUACUUUUUACAAAAAGUAACGGUAACGGUAACGCGUUACUUUUUUAAGGUAACGUUCCCAACCCUGGUAAUAAUCAAAUUAUUUAUGUCGUACUUUUUAGGUUACCUGCUAUAAACUCACGGAACUCGCAACCAGGGGCUGUAAUCUCUUAUGUAUUUUUCGUGACCAGCGUUUGUUGCGCCACCGCUGUAAGCGAAUUCGCCGAACCGAACUAAAAUGCAAUAUGGCCGUCUAAAAUCAACAUGGCCGUAGUAAUAAGUUCCGUUCAACAAGCAAAGUAAAGUGAAGCAAAGCUUACGAGCGAAGAAGGAGGUUAUUUCUUACGAACGGAAUAAUUUAAAACUGAUGACACCAGUAGCUGUUCCAAUUUGUACACCAGCCUUCGACGCCAUAUAGAAUAAAGAUGCUGUCAGAGGAGUUAGAUGAGGGAGCUACAAUUAUAACCAAGAAAAAGCAAUCUGUGAUCACAUUACUUAGCUUCGACAAACGAUGACCUAAGUUCAACUGAUUGUAGGCUCUUUCUUACGUCCACGUGGAAUCAGCUGCUCCUUCGCAACUUGCAACAGGCUAAGGCUGCGUUCCGAUAUUAAUUGUCAGUACUGAAAAUCUACAGUAUAUGUGACGUAAACUAUAGAUUUUCAGUACUGGCAGUGAAUAUCGAAACGCAGCCUAAGUUACGAAGAAGCAGCUGAUUCCACAUGAACGUAAGAAAGAGGCUACAAUCAGUUGAACUUUGGUCAUCGUUUGUCGAAGCUAAUGGGUGUCAAGACAAAUCACUUGAAUGCAAACUACUUUCCAGUAUGUUGUAGCAUAAGAAAGCAAGAAAAUUGUAUUGGAGGAGAAACAACGUGAUUUAGAGAAUAAGGUGCUCUGUCACAUAGAAUGUAAUUCUAUUAUAAAAGCAUGUAAUGGUUCCAUAAAAUAAAUAAGUUCAAAAAAU